UGGGGAAUUGUUCGCAAUGGGCGCAAGCCUGACGACGCAACGCCGCGUGGAGGACGAAGAUCUUCGGGUCGUAAACUCCUUUCGAUCGGGAAGAAUGGCUCCGGGGUUAAUCGCCCUGGAGAGUGACGGUACCGAGAGAAGAAGCCCCGGCUAACUCUGUGCCAGCAGCCGCGGUAAUACAGGGGGGGCAAGCGUUGUUCGGAAUUACUGGGCGUAAAGGGCUCGUAGGCGGCCAACUAAGUCCGACGUGAAAUCCCAAAGCUUAACUUUGGAACUGCGUCGGAUACUGGAUGGCUUGAAUUCGGGAGAGGGAUGCAGAAUUCCAGGUGUAGCGGUGAAAUGCGUAGAUAUCUGGAGGAAUACCGGUGGCGAAGGCGGCAUCCUGGACCGACAUUGACGCUGAGGAGCGAAAGCUAGGGGAGCAAACGGGAUUAGAUACCCCGGUAGUCCUAGCCCUAAACGAUGAAUGUUGGUGUGGCGGGUAUCGAUCCCUGCCGUGCCGAAGCUAACGCUAA
rnacentral:rRNA from 1 species